CAUGACCAGAUUUACAACUGUUACUUACCUCAAUAAAUCUCUACUCUACAAUGUCGUUGCCACUCAAAUCGGUCUCCGAACGUCUCGAAUAUAGCCACAAAAUAUAAAUUACAAUUAAUAUAUGCUAAAGCAAUGAAUUCCACAAGAAAACUACUAAAUUAGACUCAAAAUCCAAAAUCGGCUAAAACCCGGACCCUAGGCUCACAUCCCGAAAUCUGACAGAAGUCAUUAAACGCGAACAUUCACUCACGAGUCCAACCAAACUAAAUUUAUCAAAAUUCGACAUUUUUGGAAAUCCAAACCCACUUUCCAAUUCUCAAGCCCAAACUCCCAAAAUGCACCUCAAAAACUCACUAACUAGGUGUAAAAUCAUUGGGGAGACAUCAAUAUUGAAAAUAAAUAGGUACAAGGAACUUACCUUAG
rnacentral:lncRNA from 1 species